UACGGAGGGUGCAAGCGUUGUCCGGAUUUAUUGGGUUUAAAAGGGUGCGUAGGCGGCCCCUGUAAGUCAGUGGUGAAAAUACUGCAGCUUAACUGUAGCAUUUGCCCAUUUGAUACUGUAGGGGCUUGAGUACAGAUGAGGGUAGGCGGGAAAUUGAUGGUGUAGCGGUGAAAAUGCAUAGAUACCAUCAAGAACACCCGAUUGCGA
rnacentral:rRNA from 1 species